rnacentral:lncRNA from 1 species
AAUCUAUUCCAGUACUAACCCUAUAUACCUCUUACUUUAGUAGACUGUAGGCUAUCAUUUGCUCAGAGAAACUGCAAACAAAUCUUGGAAAUGGAUUUCCUACAGCCUAGGGUAGAUAAAUCAAAGAUAGGGUAUGUUAAUUCCGAAUCGUCGCAUACGCUUGCUUUUUUGAUUUUAUAUCAGCGGCGGUUGUGUCGUUUUGGAAACAUAAAAGGAUUACGAACCAUCUUCAUCUCUACAUAUCUAUUCAAAAUCGCUCCGUUGAUCUUCUGCUACAUGAAAG